rnacentral:rRNA from 1 species
AUGCAAGCUCAGCUUUAUUGGUGCACUAAUCAUGAAGUGUGGGAAAGCAUAUGUGACUAUUGGUGCUCCUCUAAAUUCGAGGGGUUGCGGAAUCUUGGCCGAGAGUCACGCUUCAAGUCAGAGGAUAUUGCACAGAACCGGGGUGGUUCACGAUCAUUCGUUCAGACCCAAAGCAUGUUGGAAAAAGAGCAUGGUGCUGCAGCAGCAACAAACAUGAACACUUACAAGUGCAUGAAGGCAGGAGUUAAGAAUUGUAUGGAGAAUGGAGAAAGUGGCCCCAUCAACAACAUUAAGGUCACAGAGCGUCUUAACACCUACUACACAGCUUUGAAAGCGGCAGAUCCACUACAUUGGAAGGACCGUGAUCUUGAUCCAAAAAUCAUGUACUCCUCCAGUGGUGGCAUGCCCCAUGGUCGACUAGCAAUAGGUGAUGGUGCUAUAAAGAAAUCAGUGGUUGUUGCAAAAGCUAGAGAGAAUGACAUAAGGCCAUCAAACUCCAUAUCCUACAACUAUUUAUUGAAGGAAAAUGCUCAACUGAAAAGGCACUGCAAGAAUAAUUUUAUUCUGAGCAAACAUGUACAGGGGUUUUAUGGCAAGCUGGGAUGGGAAGUACCCGAAGAUCUUCUUGCCUAUCAAGAUGAGCUAAUGGAUGGCAGUGACCUGAUGAAUGAAACACCCCAAGCCCAAGAGGAUGGUGGUACUCCCUUGACAGAUUAUUCACAUUCUGAAAACCAUGCUAAUGCUACUCAAAUGGAUGAUCAUGGUUCUACUCCAUCACAUGACAAUCAUUUAGGAAUGCCACUGUUAUAA